UAUGGACACUGAAUUUUGGGGACAGGAUGGAAGUCUAGCUAGUGGAGUUGGGACCGUUGCAUGCUAAGUACUGCACCAGAAUUAACUUGUAUGACCCUCACAACCUUAGGAGGCAUACCGACUCCCCACUGAGAUCUGUGUGUGCGUGUGUACAAGUGUACACGCCGGCGCACAUGUGUGGUGUACAUGUAUAUGAGGCCAGAAGUUGACACUGAGUAUCUUUUACUAUCACUCUUCACCUUAUCUUUUGACAAAAUUGGCGACACUAGCUGGCCACUGAACUCUUGGGAUCCAUCUGUCUCUACUCUUCCGCCACCCAGUGAGAGGGUUACAGCAAGCACUCUCCAACUGAGCUGUCUCUCCAGCCCCUCAGUGAGAUGAAAGAAAGAAAGGAAGGAAGGAAGGAAGGGAGGAAGGAAGGAAAGACAGAAAAAAAUCCUCUAUGUGUACCCUACGUAGCAUAAUGCCGUGUCACCGAAAACUAACUGUGCCUCUUCCUCUUUAACCCUGGAGGAGAUACAUAGUACGUGAUGUCUCUAAAGAUGAUAUCCUAGAUGACUUUUCAAAGAACUGAGCCACUCCAGAAGAUCCACUUCAUCUGCAGAACUAUUGCAUAACCCAGCCCUCCUCUACUUCAGUGGAAUGCUCCUGUCGUUGCCAACUGUUGCUUGCCUCGUGGAAAUUCUUGGCCAGACCUAUGGAUUGCCAGACCUUGCAGCUGUUUACCCUUGAAGUCCAGUUCUCCUAUAACAUCAAAUCCAACAACAUUCCUCGUGACCUAACAAGAGUGGUCACCGAGCUAGUUGUCGGUGCGGCUAAGAUGUCACUGUUGCUACCCUCAAGUGGUACAGGAUCCAUAUAAAAACAAGCAUAUGACUAUCAAAAUACUAAGUGAAGACUAGGAAUAAUAGAAGAGAAGGCGGAGACAACACAGAAGAAAGGCUGUCUGUGUUAGCAACACAAGCUUUCUGCUCCUAGGACAUUAAGGCUCUUAUUUCUGCACAUCUCUAUCUUUCUGCCUAAAAUGUGGCCUUCCCAGGACCACCCUUUCUUCUAAGAGGAGGAGGCUUGGUCUUGCCUAAAACAGUGCAGUAAGUACUGGGGCAUGCCUGUAGUUCCAGUGUUCGGAAGGAAGAGACAAGAGGAUCAAGAGUUCAAGGCCAGCCUCUGUUGCAUAGUGAAACCUUGUCUCAAACUCGCAAGACCCAAAACCAAUCCGAACAGAAAAAUGCAGUAGCCACGGCCUCCUCUUCACCUCCUGCUUUCCUCUUUUCCCGCUGACCUCUUGCCUUCGGGCCGCUUCAUUCACUUCUCUGUGAGAAUGAAUGUCAUCCCAUUCCAGGUCUCCAGUCAGUGUGUUCUAAAAGGGGAGAAAGCCUGAGAGUGUGAGUCAGCUUUAUUCCUGGUACUGAACCCUGUUUGUUCUUGUACUAGUUGCCCUGAGGAACAGGGAAGAGAAACGCAACUUGGGCUUCUCCGGCUAUUAAAAGGAAAUGAGUGGCAGUCACCCCGUUUUCCCAAGUGAGAAGGAAGAGCUUGCACGCAACUCUGAGCUCCUGUUAGGCUGCACGCAGCAGCUUCUGCAGCAUUUACUUUCUAAUGCUUACUGUGUGCUCCCUUUGCCUUUAUCGCCCUUGGUGCUGGCUUCUUAAGCACAAAGAGAAUCAGGCUACCCCAAGAAAUCUCCAGGUAUCUGCCUGGUGGCCGGGUAGGUGAAAACGCUCUCCUUCAUGUUUGCCAGGUAGAGUGACUCUCACUGACCCGCCCCUCUUUACCCUCCCCCUCACGGUAGUACAGCGAUUUGUGUGGACGCCUGUGUCCUAGUCAGAAUGCAGCCUUCUAGAGGGUAGGGUGUAGCCCAGUGGUGGAAGGAACCCCUGCCUUGCAAAUGUGAGGUCCUGGGUAGGAUCUUCAGCACUGGGAAAGCAAAAAUAAUUCAAGAGUUCAUUUUUUUUU